rnacentral:rRNA from 1 species
CUCGCCACGGUAAUACGGAGGGUGCAAGCGUUAUCCGGAUUUAUUGGGUUUAAAGGGUCCGUAGGCGGAUCUGUAAGUCAGUGGUGAAAUCUCACAGCUUAACUGUGAAACUGCCAUUGAUACUGCAGGUCUUGAGUAAAUUUGAAGUGGCUGGAAUAAGUAGUGUAGCGGUGAAAUGCAUAGAUAUUACUUAGAACACCAAUUGCGAAGGCAGGUCACUAAGAUUUAACUGACGCUGAUGGACGAAAGCGUGGGGAGCGAACAGGAUUAGAGACCCGCGUAGUCCCUGUCUCUUAUACAC